UACCAAUUGUUGCCUCGGCGGAUCAGCCCGCUCCCGGUAAAACGGAACGGCCCGCCAGAGGACCCCUAAACUCUGUUUCUAUAUGUAACUUCUGAGUAAAACCAUAAAUAAAUCAAAACUUUCAACAACGGAUCUCUUGGUUCUGGCAUCGAUGAAGAACGCAGCAAAAUGCGAUAAGUAAUGUGAAUUGCAGAAUUCAGUGAAUCAUCGAAUCUUUGAACGCACAUUGCGCCCGCCAGUAUUCUGGCGGGCAUGCCUGUUCGAGCGUCAUUUCAACCCUCAAGCCCCCGGGUUUGGUGUUGGGGAUCGGCGAGCCUCACGGCAAGCCGGCCCCGAAAUACAGUGGCGGUCUCGCUGCAGCUUCCAUUGCGUAGUAGUAAAACCCUCGCAACUGGUACGCGGCGCGGCCAAGCCGUUAAACCCCCAACUUCUGAAUGUUGACCUCGGAUCAGGUAGGAAUACCCGCUGAACUUAAGCAUAUCAAUAAGCGGAGGAA
rnacentral:rRNA from 1 species